GAAAAACCCGUUCGCCGAAAGACCAAGGGUUCCAGUCCAACGUUAAUCGGGGCUGGGUGAGUCGACCCCUAAGGCGAGGCCGAAAGGCGUAGUCGAUGGGAAAAUGGUUAAUAUUCCAUUACUUCUGUGUAAUGCGAUGAGAGGACGGAGAAGGCUAAAUCAGCCUGGCGUUGGUUGUCCAGGUGAAAGGAUGUAGGCAUGUAUCUUAGGCAAAUCCGGGGUACUCUAUGCUGAGAUCUGAUAGCAAGCUGUACUUGUACAGCGAAGUGGUUGAUGCCAUGCUUCCAGGAAAAGUCUCUAAGCUUCAGUUACACAGGAAUCGUACCCGAAACCGACACAGGUGGUCAGGUCGAGUAGACCAAGGCGCUUGAGAGAACUCUGCUGAAGGAACUAGGCAAAAUGGUACCGUAACUUCGGGAGAAGGUACGCUGUUGUUGGUGAUGGAACUCGCUUCCUGAGCUGACGACAGCCGCAGAAACCAGGCCGCUGCAACUGUUUAUUAAAAACAUAGCACUCUGCAAACACGAAAGUGGACGUAUAGGGUGUGAUGCCUGCCCGGUGCUGGAAGGUUAAUUGAUGGGGUUAGCGUAAGCGAAGCUCUUGAUCGAAGCCCCAGUAAACGGCGGCCGUAACUAUAACGGUCCUAAGGUAGCGAAAUUCCUUGUCGGGUAAGUUCCGACCUGCACGAAUGGCAUAAUGAUGGCGGCGCUGUCUCCAGCAGAGGCUCAGUGAAAUCGAAAUCGCUGUGAAGAUGCAGUGUACCCGCGGCUAGACGGAAAGACCCCGUGAACCUUUACUGCAGCUUGACACUGAACUUUGACCUUACUUGUGUAGGAUAGGUGGGAGGCUUUGAAGCUGGAACGCUAGUUCCAGUGGAGCCGUCCUUGAAAUACCACCCUGGUAAUGUUGAGGUUCUAACUCUGUCCCGUGAUCCGGGACGAGGACCGUGUCUGGUGGGUAGUUUGACUGGGGCGGUCUCCUCCUAAAGAGUAACGGAGGAGUACGAAGGUGCGCUCAGCGUGGUCGGAAAUCACGCGUAGAGUAUAAAGGCAAAAGCGCGCUUAACUGCGAGACCCACAAGUCGAGCAGGUACGAAAGUAGGUCUUAGUGAUCCGGUGGUUCUGUAUGGAAGGGCCAUCGCUCAACGGAUAAAAGGUACUCUGGGGAUAACAGGCUGAUACCGCCCAAGAGUUCAUAUCGACGGCGGUGUUUGGCACCUCGAUGUCGGCUCAUCUCAUCCUGGGGCUGAAGCAGGUCCCAAGGGUAUGGCUGUUCGCCAUUUAAAGAGGUACGCGAGCUGGGUUUAGAACGUCGUGAGACAGUUCGGUCCCUAUCUACCGUGGGCGCUGGAAAUUUGAGAGGAUCUGCUCCUAGUACGAGAGGACCAGAGUGGACGAACCUCUGGUGUACCGGUUGUGACGCCAGUCGCAUCGCCGGGUAGCUAUGUUCGGAAGGGAUAACCGCUGAAAGCAUCUAAGCGGGAAGCCUACCUCAAGAUAAGAUUUCCCUAGGACUUUAUGUCCUCUAAAGAGCCGUUCGAGACUAGGACGUUGAUAGGUUGGAUGUGGAAGCAUAGUGAUAUGUGAAGCUGACCAAUACUAAUUGCUCGUGAGGCUUGACUAU
rnacentral:rRNA from 1 species